rnacentral:rRNA from 1 species
AUUGAACGCUGGCGGCAUGCCUUACACAUGCAAGUCGAACGGCAGCGGGGGAGAAGCUUGCUUUUCCUGCCGGCGAGUGGCGAACGGGUGAGUAAUACAUCGGAACGUGCCCAGUCGUGGGGGAUAACGUAGCGAAAGUUACGCUAAUACCGCAUACGAUCUAUGGAUGAAAGCGGGGGAUCGCAAGACCUCGCGCGAUUGGAGCGGCCGAUAUCAGAUUAGGUAGUUGGUGGGGUAAAGGCUCACCAAGCCGACGAUCUGUAGCUGGUCUGAGAGGACGACCAGCCACACUGGGACUGAGCCACGGCCCAGACUCCUACGGGAGGCAGCAGUGGGGAAUUUUGGACAAUGGGCGCAAGCCUGAUCCAGCCAUGCCGCGUGCAGGAUGAAGGCCUUCGGGUUGUAAACUGCUUUUGUACGGAACGAAAAGGUUUGGCCUAAUACGCUGAACUCAUGACGGUACCGUAAGAAUAAGCACCGGCUAACUACGUGCCAGCCGCCGCGGUAA